rnacentral:rRNA from 1 species
GAUGAACGCUGGCGGCGUGCUUAACACAUGCAAGUCGAACGGAAAGGCCCUGCUUUUGCGGGGUGCUCGAGUGGCGAACGGGUGAGUAACACGUGUGUAUCCCGCCCCUGACUUUCGGAUAACUUUACGAAACUGGGGCUAAUACCGGAUAGGAGCUCCUGCAGCAUGGUGGUGGUUGGAAAGUUUCGGCGGUUGUGGCUAUACUCGCGGCUUAUCAGCUUGUUGGUGGGGUAGUUGCUUACAAAGGCUUCGACGGCUAGCCCACAUGGGAGGGUGGACGGCGACAAUAGGACUAAGGUACGGAGCAGUCUGCUACGUGAGGCAGCAGUGGGGAGUCUUGCGCAGUGAGGGGACGUGUGAGACGGAGACGCCGGGAGCGGGAAGACGGCCUUCGGGGUGUGAACCGCUGUCGCCUGAGACGAGGCGGUAGUGACGGUACUGGAUAAAGAAGCACCGGCUAACUACGUG